rnacentral:tRNA from 1 species
UCCCUGGUGGCCUAAUGGUUAGGAUUCAGCAUUUUCACUGCUGUCAUCUCAGGUUCAAUUCCUGGUUUAGGAA